UACAGAGGUCUCGAGCGUUAGGCGGAAUCUCUGGGCUUAAAGCGUGUGUAGGCGGAUCGGUAAGUACCUUGUGAAAUCCCACAGCUUAACUGUGGAACUGCUUGGUAUACUGCCAGUCUUGAGCCAGCUAGGGGCUACCGGAACAAAUGGUGGAGCGGUGAAAUGCGUAGAUAUCAUUUGGAACGCCAAUGGUGAAAACAGGUAGCUGGGGCUGUGCUGACGCUGAGACACGAAAGCCAGGGGAGCGAACGGG
rnacentral:rRNA from 1 species